rnacentral:rRNA from 1 species
GACGAACGCUGGCGGCGUGCCUAACACAUGCAAGUCGAGCGGGGAUUUAAGUGGAAGUUCCUCGGAAUGGAGAUUUAAAUUCUAUCGGCGGACGGGUGAGUAACGCGUGAACAAUCUGUCCCGGACAGGGGGAUAACACUUGGAAACAGGUGCUAAUACCGCAUAAGACUACGGCCUCGCAUGGGGCUGUGGUAAAAGGAGCAAUCCGGUUCGGGGUGAGUUCGCGUCCGAUUAGCUAGUUGGUGAGGUAACGGCCCACCAAGGCGACGAUCGGUAGCCGGCCGGAGGGGGUGAACGGCCACAAUGGAACUGAGAGGCGGUCGAAACGACUCCGAGAGGCAGCAGUAGGGAAUAUUGGGCAAUGGGCGAAAGCCUGACCCAGCAACGCCGCGUGAGGGAAGAAGGUUUUCGGAUUGUAAAACUCUGUCCUAUGGGACGAAGGAAGUGACGGUACCAUAGGAGGAAGCCCCGGCUAACUACGUG